GAUGAACGCUAGCUACAGGCUUAACACAUGCAAGUCGAGGGGAAACGACAUCGAAAGCUUGCUUUUGAUGGGCGUCGACCGGCGCACGGGUGAGUAACGCGUAUCCAACCUGCCCAUCACUUGGGAAUAACCUUGCGAAAGUAAGACUAAUACCCAAUGACAUCCCACGAAGACAUCUGAAUGGGAUUAAAGAUUUAUCGGUGAUGGAUGGGGAUGCGUCUGAUUAGCUUGUUGGCGGGGUAACGGCCCACCAAGGCAACGAUCAGUAGGGGUUCUGAGAGGAAGGUCCCCCACAUUGGAACUGAGACACGGUCCAAACUCCUACGGGAGGCAGCAGUGAGGAAUAUUGGUCAAUGGGCGAGAGCCUGAACCAGCCAAGUAGCGUGCAGGAUGACGGCCCUAUGGGUUGUAAACUGCUUUUAUAAGGGAAUAAAGUGGGUCUCGUGAGACUUUUUGCAUGUACCUUAUGAAUAAGGUCCGGCUAAUUCCGUG
rnacentral:rRNA from 1 species